ACUCCUACGGGAGGCAGCAGUCGAGAAUCAUUCGCAAUGGGCGAAAGCCUGACGAUGCGACGCCGUGUGAACGAUGAAGGCCUUCGGGUUGUAAAGUUCUUUCGCUUGGGAACAAGAGAGGUAGGAUAAUACCCUACCAAUUUGAGGGUACCAGGUAAAGAAGCACCGGCUAACUCCGUGCCAGCAGCUGCGGUAAUACGGAGGGUGCAAGCAUUAAUCGGAUUUAUUGGGCGUAAAGGGCGCGUAGGCGGAUCGAUCAGUCAGAUGUGAAAUUUCGAAGCUCAACUUCGAAGCUGCAUUUGAAACUGUCGACCUUGAGGAUAGGCGGAGAAAACGGAAUUCCACAUGUAGCGGUGAAAUGCGUAGAUAUGUGGAAGAACACCCGUGGCGAAAGCGGUUUUCUAGCUUAUUCCUGACGCUGAGGCGCGAGAGCAAGGGGAGCAAACAGGAUUAGAUACCCUGGUAGUCCUUGCCGUAAACGAUGUAUACUUGGUGUAGCUGGGCUCAACCCUAGCUGUGCCGGAGCUAACGCGUUAAGUAUACCGCCUGAGGAGUACGCUCGCAAGGGUAAAACUCAAAAGAAUUGACGGGGGCCCGCACAAGCAGUGGAGCAUGUGGUUUAAUUCGAUGCAACGCGAAGAACCUUACCCAGGUUUGACAUUUAGUGGACCGCACUAGAGAUAGUGCUUCUCGCAAGAGCCGCUUAUACAGGUGCUGCAUGGCUGUCGUCAGCUCGUGCCGUGAGGUGUUGGGUUAAGUCCCGCAACGAACGCAACCCUUGUCAUUAGUUACCAGCACGUUAUGGUGGGGACUCUAGUGAGACUGCCUAGGUUAACUAGGAGGAAGGUGAGGAUGACGUCAAGUCCGCAUGGCCUUUUAUGUCUGGGGGCUACACACG
rnacentral:rRNA from 1 species